rnacentral:misc_RNA from 1 species
UGGAAGCUUGGUUGCAGAACCUCGGACGGCACAUAGCUGGCGUCGAUCCUUGGACAGUCCAGGAAUGGAGGACUGCCACAACUGAAAGUGCUGGAUCUACCACACGGAUACGGUGUGGAAGAUAACACAGUAAUUGCCAUCAGCCACGGAUGUCCCGGUUUGCGGCAGCUCUCCGUCACUCACGCUACGAAGCUGUCGCCUGCUGCCUUCUCGGAGAUUGACCGUCUAGAACAUCUUGAAAUACUAGAUGUGACAGGUUGUAGCAGACUCGGCGGAGGCCUAUUCCCCUACCUCGUCGGGCUACCGCGACUUCACACAUUGCGAAUGGGUACCAUGUAUUUCGGUACCACGUAUUUUACAGAGUUGCAGCCAGGUGUGAGCAGCAUCCUCAAAUUGUCAGGUUUGCGCUGUCUGACAUUCGAUUAUUCGGAUGUUACUGGAGAGCCUUUUGAUAAGUUUCCGGAGAAUCUCAUCAGUCUCAGAGCUCAUAUCAAAAAGGGGAGAAUUUUCUCUGCUCGUGAGAAACUUCGCUGUGUUUAUUCGUAUGAAAUCGGAGAAUGUUCUUCAUGUUGAGCAAGGUUACCCACUCAUUUACUCAAGCUGAGAACACACUCAGGGAGCUGAGUGUCGAAGGGUGCCGAGGUGACCCCAGAGCCACAGACGGGCUGACCGAGCAGAUGCCCAAUCUCGUAAUCCGCGGCACGGUCCACGCUGAGCUACAGCCUUUCUACUUCGAGGCACUCGAGGAUGUAGGGCCCGGCGAAGCAGACGAAGCGGUGGACGACCGUUCGGAGAGUGACGAAGACCGCGACAGUGAUAGUAGCGUCGGCGGCAGUGACAGUGAGAGAGGUUGAGAGCACUAUAUCUGUAUGUAUAAAAAUGAUGUGAAAUUUAUAGGAAAGUACAAUUCUCAGUACUUGUCAACAUAAGCGGAAACUGUUUUGAAGGAAUAUAACAAAUAAUUUUAGAAAUGUGUAGAAGAAACAGUAAUGUUGUUUGAAUACCUGCUGUAAUAAUCUGCAAUAAUGUUUGAUUCUUGUUGUAACAACAAUGGAUUCACAAUGAAACAAAUUUUUUAAAUGAUAAAAUGGCUACACAGAUCAGGUAGCAAUUCAUAAAUAGCACUGACAAUGUUUUUUUGCAGUAAGUCGAAUUUAAAAACUUCUUUGUUUUUAUAAACCUGUGAAACAAUAAUAAAUGAGGACUGCUACCUUGUUAUUUUAAGUGUUAAUUAUAUUUAUCAGGAUACUACUAGAUACCAUUUUUAAAUAUUAAAUUUCAUUUGGAGGAACCACUUUGUGAUUAAAAUACACGACAGACUCUUUUACGAAUGAACCACACAUCACUAGUGUAAUACUGUACAGCAUUUAUUAUUUGUUACACAAACCAGUUUUUGGCUGAUAAGUCACUGUCGGGUAUGAAGAUAAGUAAGUGGUAAAGUGAAAUUGGUUGGAUCAAAGAUUUUAAAGUAGUCCAUCUAAAGAGUAUUUCUGUUUCCAGAGGUGAAAAAAAAUUAAUGUUACAAGAAGGAACAAAUAAAGGAUUAUUUCAGUGUAAA